rnacentral:rRNA from 1 species
UACGAAGGGUCCAAGCGUUAUCCGGAUUUAUUGGGUUUAAAGGGUGCGUAGGCGGCUUAUUAAGUCAGUGGUGAAAGCCUGUAGCUUAACUACAGAACUGCCAUUGAUACUGAUGAGCUUGAAUAUACUUGAGGUUGGCGGAAUGUGUCAUGUAGCGGUGAAAUGCUUAGAUAUGACACAGAACACCGAUUGCGAAGGCAGCUAGCUAAAGUACAAUUGACGCUGAUGCACGAAAGCGUGGGGAGCAAACGGG